CUAGAACUCAGGGCCCAGCAGGUCUGACAAUGCAGGUUUCCCCGCUCGCCUGUUGGGUUUUUGAAACGCCCUCAGCGGGGUUUUCCUCCUAAUUCUGGUUUGGAGGAGCCAUCUCUCUCCAUCCCGUCUGCCAGCGGGGUUUGCUUCACACACAGACGUGGGCAGAUGGCAUCGGGGACACAGGGAAACCUGACCUUAGAGGAAAUGGAAAAGUUGGAGAGACACUGAGCACUGAUACGAAAUAAUUCUCUUGCUGAAAUACACGAAAGGAGUCCCAGCAGCCAUAUUAGUAUUUCCACGUCCUGUGUCAGCCCCAAGUAGAGAGAACUUGGAAUGGGAGGGGAAAUGGCAGCCAUCAGGAAAUGAAAUGCUGGCCCAGAGAAUUCUAAGCAAGUCAAUCACCAGUCCAAAAUGCUUCAUCUGGAGAAUUUCAAAGAGACAACCAACCACCUGUUGUCAAUUUCCAUUCACCACCCUAAGUGUUAAUGUAUCUCUGGUUUCCUAAAGAUUCUAUUUGGACAGGGCUCAGCAUGGGUGGUUCAUCCGUGCCUCACAUGGUAUUAUCACGAACCCUCAUAAGGCUGAAUUCAGCUGGAAAUGGAACAUCAAAGAUGAUCUCAUUCACAUGAA
rnacentral:lncRNA from 10 species